rnacentral:rRNA from 1 species
GAUGAACGCUGGCGGCGUGCCUAAUACAUGCAAGUCGAGCGAACAGACGAGGAGCUUGCUCCUCUGACGUUAGCGGCGGACGGGUGAGUAACACGUGGAUAACCUACCUAUAAGACUGGGAUAACUUCGGGAAACCGGAGCUAAUACCGGAUAAUAUAUUGAACCGCAUGGUUCAAUAGUGAAAGACGGUUUUGGCGUCGCUUAUAGAUGGAUCCGCGCCUCAUUAUCUAGUUGGUGGGGUAACGGCUUACCAAGGCGACGAUGGGUAGCCGGCCUGAGAGGGUGACCGGAGACAUGGGGACGGAGAGACGGCCCAGACGCCUACGGGAGGCAGCAGUGGGGAAUCUUGCACAAUGGGCGGAAGCCUGAUGCAGCAACGCCGCGUGCGGGAUGACGGCUUGCGGGUGGUAAACCGCUUUCGCCUGUGACGAAGCGGGAGUGACGGUAAUGGGUAAAGAAGCACCGGCUAACUACGUG